CGUCCUCCAAACAGAAAGAAUACAUUCCCUCUGGAGCGCGAAGGGACCAUGGAAAUGUUCAGGUGCUUCUCGGAGCCUGCUCGUGUCCCCACUGUCGCCCCGAGGAAGCGCUCUGCUCCUCAGAACUAUAGCCAGCGCUGGGAAAAACGGGAGGUGGCAAAGCGAGAUGGAGGCUGUGAUGGAACCCGCCAAGGUUAGGAAAUAUGAAUGAGGCAAAGAAACACUCUCGUCACCCCCCAGGCGAUCGCGCCCACGAAAUGAAACCUCCUUUUAAGCGUGGAGAAUGCAGAGUUGUACUACAGACCAAAUCUUAAGGAAAAAAUUGUCCACGAUUCAUCUGGUGCUGAGUUAUCUCACUAUGUGUUUAAAGCAGAACAGCAACCCCCCAAAAGUCAUCUUUUGCUACACCCAGUGCCCCCUCCCACCUUCUAAUUUUUGCCACAGCGCCAUCUUUAGCUCUGAGUCACCAGGGAUGGAAAAAUACUAGUCAAGUCACUCCCGGACUCUUGAAUUUUCUGCAGUUGUAGUCACACACUAAAACCUGUUGCUUCGUUUGUACGGUCUACAGCUGAGGUUCUCUUCUGGAUCUGCUGCUAAGGCCAAUCAGCUCACAACACAAAAGAGAUGAAGAAUGGAAGAUGCUGGCAGAGCAAGACCAAGUAGAAGAAGUGAAGAGUGGUAACUUCCACCAUGAAAAUUUGUUUACAUUACGGUGUAAAGCAUGUCAUCCGAAAUGUAAAAGGAAGAUACAUCUAUUGGCCUAAAGUUAGCUGCUUGUCUGAUUUUACCCAGGU